UACGUAGGUGGCAAGCGUUGUCCGGAAUUAUUGGGCGUAAAGGGCUCGGAGGCGGUUUGUCGCGUCGGGAGUGAAAACGCCGUGCUUAACACGGCGCUUGCUUUCGAUACGGGCAGACUAGAGGUAUGCAGGGGAGAACGGAAUUCCUGGUGUAGCGGUGAAAUGCGCAGAUAUCAGGAGGAACACCGGUGGCGAAGGCGGUUCUCUGGGCAUUACCUGACGCUGAGGAGCGAAAGUGUGGGGAGCGAACAGG
rnacentral:rRNA from 1 species